ACACUACUAGAAAAACGCUCAUAGAUAACGGAUUUUAUCCGUUAUCUAUGAGCAAAAAAACCGUUGUGUAUAGUGGUGUUAUCUAUUAUAGGUGUCAUACACAACAGUUUAAAAACCGUUAUCUAUAAAGGGAAAAGAUAACAGUACAACCACACAUACAUAACGGUUAUAAAACCGUUAUCUAUAUUGAUUAUACAUAACGGUUUUGGACUGUUAUGUAUUAUGAUUUAUCCGUUAUCUAUUCCAUAAUAUAUAUUUUUUUCAUAUUAUAGUUAACAAUUUUUUAUACUUUUUAUAACGGUUUAAACCGUUAUCUUUGUAAGAAAAAGAUAACGGUUUUCGACUGUUAUGUAUUAGAAUUAAUCCGUUAUGUAUUAUAUAAUAUUUCUUUUUUCUCAUAUUAUAGAUAACAGUUUUUUAUACUUUUUAUAACGGUUUAAACCGUUAUCUUUGUAAGACAUAGAUAACGGUUUUGUAUGUAUUAGAUGACAGUUUUUCGCAUAUUUUUUAUUUAUUCUUAAUUUUUCCUUUUAUGUAUAUCUAAAAAUCAAUAAAAAAAAUUCAAAUAAUAAAAUAACAUUGACAAGAUAAUAUUAGCAUAUAUAACAUAGCAUCCAACAAUUCGAGCUACACAAGUUGCCUGUUAAUACAUGUUUUACUACAUGAAGCAUCUGGCAGAGCAACUCGUUUCUUCUUGGAGAUGGGUACUGGAGCUGAAGGCAAUCUAUGCCGGCUCGCUUCUUUUCCAUUCAGAAGCUGCUGCUUUGUGAUUUUAGCACGCUUUAGUGAGUUUGGCGCUUGUACAAGAUUUUGUUCUUGCACAGUGCAACACGAACAUGGGGGAUACCAAAAUAAGACAGCGAUGAACUAGGCAUUUUUACUCGUCAAUAUUUGACAAUGCGCGGAAACAUAUAUCUGCGGAGAAGCCACAUAUACAAAGAUAAACGUAUGUAUUUGGCUUCAUACCUGGUUGAAUAUCAUGCAUUUCAUUGCUCAAGAUCAUAGCAAUUCAACAUAAAAA